AGGCUAAGGUUGUGGCCAAGGUUUACUGGGGUGAUCCAAGGGAGAAGUUGUGUGAUGCUGUGCAAGAUCUCAAGCUUGAUUCGCUUGUUGUUGGAAGCAGGGGCUUAGGCCUCAUUAAAAGGGUGUUGCUUGGCAGUGUUAGCAACUAUGUGGUGACUAAUGCUUCAUGUCCAGUUACAGUGGUCAAGGGCACGACAUCAUCCAAACCCUAAAUCGUACUCAUUUCAUGAUAUCUAAAAGCUUAGGUCUCUAUCUGCAAAGAAGGAGUACUUGUACACUGGAAACUUCAAGGGAUAUAAGGCCUUUGAUCGAUGUGUUCUUUUUCUUUUGUUAUUUUAGUUGUUUUUAUUUUCUAUUUUUUGGAUUGAUGGGAGUGGACUUUAUGAUUGUUCAACUUUAUUUACGCUCUUUGGCUAAGUUUUUUUUA